rnacentral:rRNA from 1 species
AACGAACGCUGGCGGCAGGCUUAACACAUGCAAGUCGAACGCCCCGCAAGGGGAGUGGCAGACGGGUGAGUAACGCGUGGGAAUCUACCCAGUUCUACGGAACAACUGAGGGAAACUUCAGCUAAUACCGUAUACGCCCUACGGGGGAAAGAUUUAUCGGAAUUGGAUGAGCCCGCGUUGGAUUAGCUAGUUGGUGAGGUAACGGCUCACCAAGGCGACGAUCCAUAGCUGGUCUGAGAGGAUGAUCAGCCACACUGGGACUGAGACACGGCCCAGACUCCUACGGGAGGCAGCAGUGGGGAAGAUUGGACAAUGGGCGCAAGCCUGAUCCAGCAUGCCGCGUGAGUGAUGAAGGCCUUAGGGUUGUAAAGCUCUUUCAGUGGGGACGAUAAUGACGGUACCCACAGAAGAAGCCCCGGCUAACUUCGUGCCAGCCGCCGCUGUAAAAC